UUAAAUUGAAGAGUUUGAUCAUGGCUCAGAUUGAACGCUGGCGGCAGGCCUAACACAUGCAAGUCGAACGGUAACAGGGAUCAGCUUGCUGAUU
rnacentral:rRNA from 2 species